GCCCGGUUAGCUCACUUGUCAGUCGGUAGAGCACCAGACUCUUAAUCUGGCUGUCGCGGGUUCGAGCCCCGCAUCGGGCU
rfam:Steinernema glaseri strain NC unplaced genomic scaffold GLAS_7011, whole genome shotgun sequence.